CGUGCAGCCGGCGGCCAUUUGCAUUGAACACUUUGUGAGAGAUGGGUUGAAAACAGAAUUUGCCUAAAUGUGGAUUGAAUAUACAUAUUGAAAAGGCACGAUGUCUUGAAAGAAAAUAAGUCUGCGGAAAGAAGAUGGCGACAUGCUGCUAACUUCUAAAAAAAAAAAGGAAGUGAAAAUGCCGUAGCGCAUAUGAUUGGAUGGCCAAAGUGAGGUUAUGAUGAAUACAACGGGCAUUAUUUGGCUUAAGAAAGACGCCACAGACUUGAAAAAGGAUUGCAUCAUGUAUUGAUAAUACAAAUAAAUACUAAUCUCAAUAAAAUGAUUUAACAAUUAUAAAA